ensembl:lncRNA
CCCCUGUCUGCAAAUGGCAAAAGAACAUUUUUAUCUGAGAUCACACUGCUGUUUUCAGAAAUCUGUCCCUAAGUAUCAAGUUUAAUCAUCGCCUUUCAUUUAAAGGAGCACCAAGAGACAGUUAAGCCCACAUUUUCUGUUCCAAAUGAAUGGAAAUGAAAAGCUGCUUAGGAGUAACAGUGACUGGAGGAGGCACUGGGGAGGUUGUGCUGGAGUUUGACAGCCUGCCUGGAGAAGCCAGGGGCAGCAAGGCAGGAGAGCCAGGAGAGGAGAUCUCUUUCUUUCCUUCUCAUCCUUCCCACCACUCUAAAAAUCUAGAAGAGCAGUCAUCUGCAUUCUGCAUUCAUCUCAGUGUCGAGAGGAAAAAACAUUGCAACGAUUUUUCUGGAUUGGAAAAAACUCUUUCUCCCUACUUGGAUGGUAAAGCUGCUGUUACCAAGUGCCUAUGCUACUGCCAGCAAUAUGUCUCAGCCAGGGGCACAGGUUGCUCAGUUUUCAUCAAAGCAGCAGAGGGAAAUGGCUAUGUGGAGCAUGCUUUGCAGUUGCCUGCUGAAACCUCUGAGACUGGCUCUGAAUUUCCUGCUUUGAAACGUUUUGCUGCCAUAGUGCAACGGUUCAUGAAGCACAAUAACACUUCUCUUCUGGCCUCCAGGACACUCUCUCAUAUGGGCAGGAUGUGGCUCCCUGUGUUCCGUCUCCUCCUAGUUAUUUGUUUGUGUAAUGAAAUCUUCCACACUGACAUAGCAUUCUUGCAUGCUUUUAUAUAAGACAAACUACUUGUUUGAAAUAUCAUCAGUCCCUUGAAUUGCAAUGUAUAUGCUCUCCUUGUGUCUUUGUUGGUACUGCCUCUGCAAUACCAUAAAACAUUUAGAGAGGUGUUAUUCUGCUAAUGUGUACUGCAGUUGUGGCUGGAGCUGGGUUACAUUUUUCUGUAGUAAUUAACUGAGAAUUUUAGUUUGUACAUAGUGGUGGAUUAAACGGGAUGAUCAAAACGGGGGUCUCAUCUCAUAUGACCAAAUGCUUAGCAUUCAUGUUGGAGGUUGCUCCUCGUAGCAGAGUACUCUGAAUAGCUCAUGAAUCAAGCCUUGAAACUAGUUCGCAUUAGCAAACUGUCUGUAGGCCCUGCAGCAGCUCCAGAUCUGCUCCAAGAGCAGCCCAGCUACCCCUGAGGGCAGCACCCCUUCUAGAAAGGAUAAGGCAGAUGACAGAGCAUAAUGCAUGUUUCACGUGUCUGACUUCAAUACCCUACCAUGUGUGAGUAAGAACCCUUAGAUAUUUUACGGGGAGGAAAAAAAAAAAAAAGACAAUUAUUUAUGUACCAAAUAGCUACUAGAAGGGCUUUUGUUAUUCUGACUGAGUACAAUGUAUGUGAAAAGCAGAAAGAAUCAGCAUGAGAAAAAGAUACUAGAGACCAGCAUAGGUGAGCAGGAGAUGAAAGAAAGAAAAAGAUGAAGGCGGUAAAGGUGAGGCGGAAUGAGGCAGUAGCUACGAUGUCCUCUGCAAGUAUAUGUGAACCUGGUCUGUGUUCCAAAUCCUCUGGCUCGGUAGGACACUACUAAAGGUUGUUGUUUUUUUAACGCAGUCAAAAGUCUAUCAUUUGGAGAAGAGGUUGAUGCAUUUUGCCACCUCUGAACAAGCAUAAGCAGAAGUCAUCCUCUGUCAGUAGAAGUGAGCAAAAAUAACCUCUCAUGAGUGGUGGUUAAACGUCUUAGUC